GACGAACGCUGGCGGCGUGCUUAACACAUGCAAGUCGAACGGUGAAGCGCCUUCCUUUUUGGUGGGUGUGGAUGAGUGGCGAACGGGUGAGUAACACGUGAGUAACCUGCCCCCUUCUUCUGGAUAACCGCAUGAAAGUGUGGCUAAUACGGGAUAUUCUGGGUCUGUCGCAUGAUGGGUCUGGGAAAGAUAUUGUUUCGGUGGGGGAUGGGCUCGCGGCCUAUCAGCUUGUUGGUGGGGUGAUGGCCUACCAAGGCGGUGACGGGUAGCCGGCCUGAGAGGGUGGACGGUCACACUGGGACUGAGACACGGCCCAGACUCCUACGGGAGGCAGCAGUGGGGAAUAGUGCACAAUGGGCGCAAGCCUGAUGCAGCGACGCCGCGUGAGGGAUGGAGGCCUUUGGGUUGUGAACCUCUUUCGCCAGUGAAGCAGGCCUGCCUCGUUUGUGGGUGGGUUGACGGUAGCUGGAUAAGAAGCGCCGGCUAACUACGUG
rnacentral:rRNA from 1 species